rnacentral:lncRNA from 1 species
AAAGCCAUUGAAGCUCGAGCAGUUUGAGAAGCUUCGAAGCAUGCUUGGAGUAAUGAAGAUCACAUAAGUAAGCUAAUCACAGAGGCAUUAGCUUAAGGGAGGGAAUGUUAGUUAAAGUUAUUUUUUUAAUUCAGUCCACGUUUACUAAUAAAUCCUAGUCCUAAGGGAAGUUAGAUUCUUUAGGAGGAAGUCCUAUUGUCAUACCCCAAAAUUU